rnacentral:lncRNA from 10 species
CCCUCUCUCUGUAGACUCAUCCUCCCAGCUUUUCCCUUGUUUUUCCUAAGGUCCUGGGGAAGCAUGAUCUUCUCCCCGUAGGCUGCCUUCCUGCUGCCCCUUCCUCCUUCCAGCUCCACAUUUCCCCAGUUAUGAGGCUUCUUCAUCUGGGGGAGGCCACUCAUCAGCAUGUUGUCCAGCCUUUUGUGGCUAGUUUUUACUUCAGGUGUGGGGAUAGGUGUGUGACUUCGGCCCCUCUGAUGCCUUGGUCUCGAGCCAGCUAGGCUAAUGCAACCCUUCUGCUUUGGGAUGAGACAAAUCCCCCAAGCUCUCUGCAGCCCAGAUUUCCCACCUGAGACAGCCCAGCCAGCCCAGGAAAGCCAUAUGAACCCUAUGCUGCCCAUCCUGCUUCUUCCACUGAAUUGCAGGGUGACUUGAUUGGGUCACUUCCUUUUCCCCCUACCUCCCCUCCUCACCCCCAGGCCUUUUCCUCUCUGGAAAUGAGACCAUCAUCCUGGCCCAGCCUCCUUCCCUCCUGGUGUGACGUAGCAGAGAAAGACAUCAACCUAUUAUUUAAACACGUGUGUGCAAGUGCCUGUGUCUGUCCACAUGUGCAUGUGUGCAAGUGUGUAUGCGUGCAUAUGAAGCUCCCUGAGAGCUGUCACGUUUGGCAGUUUCAAAUCUGAGCCUUCCCGGGAUGCCCCAUCACAGGUAACACUCCCAUCCAUCCUGGCCCUGGGCUGCAGCCGCUCUAUCUGCCUGUUUCUUUUGGCUCCUGGUUCAACAAGUAUUCCUG